AUCGAUGAGUUUCCAGCUGUCUGCUCACUUGCUGUUGCCUCGGGAGGUUCGCUGUUUGGUCAUGGUCGUCAGCAUCUGGCUGAUGUAAGAGACACCCUCCCCCCAUUUAAUUUCACAUACUGGUAGUUGGAAUGGAAAAGGCACGAGACCACCUGGGGGUAUAUAAGGAAUGAGCGGUUGCACUCUUCAGUUGGCAGUUAACGUUAAGAGUAAAGCCACUGAAGAUCAGCCGACUCACCAAGUGUCAAUUUGUUCUUUCAGUGAGGUUUCACACAGCAGCUUGCUGCCUCGGACCAGGUUUCCGAUGGUGAUGUGGAAGUACGUGUUGCCACUGCUCCAGUUGGAGAUCUUAGUGAAGGGGAAGGAGAGUUUGGCUUCUUCUCGAGUCUUCCCUGAGUGUUUGUUGAACAGCGACAUGAUGGACUGAGAGCACAAAAGAAAGACACUUUUUCACUUAUUCAUUAAUUAUGUUUACACUCUUAUCUCUAAUCAGGGUUCAGGGCACUGUAGCUUUAACUGGCUUCCAUUUAGCAGAGAUAUUUGAAUAAUAACAUUAAAGUCAGUUUUUCUGUGUUUCUUUGAA